rnacentral:lncRNA from 1 species
AAAAUCUUGUCACCCUUGGCCGACCUGCAUCCAGGUCACAACAGACUCCUUGCCUCGUUGCUUCAACUUUACCUGCCUCGGCAGUCUCACUUGUGUUCCAGUCGAACCUUACAAAAGAAAGUCCUUGCUGAGACCACUUGAGAAGGACACAGAGUGUGUGUUAUCUGUACCUGGCUACUGAUGAAAGAGGACAGUGCUGAGAAUCUCCUUAUCUUUACAGACUGAGACAGGAAGUGUGUGGUUUGGGAAAUUUAGCAUAUGUGCUGUGGUAAUGAUUCAAGGACUCCAUCGAAUGUUGAAGUAAAGAACUCAAGUUGAACAUUUUUUUCAUGUAUUUAUUUGCUAUUUCUACUUUCUUCUCUGAGAAAUGUCUGUUCAUUUCAGUACC